rnacentral:tRNA from 1 species
GGGGAUUUAGCUAAGUGGCAUAAGCGCCUGCCUUACAAGCUGGCGGUUGUGAGUUCAAUCCCCA